UUAGCGGAGGGCUUGGUCAUUUAUUUCCGGCGGUGGAGGCGGCUGGGCCGGCGUAUAGCAGCCUCUGCUUCUUUCGGGUCCUCCAGCCCGGCAGCAGUAGUGAGGAGGUACUGGGAACUGUGGUGGGCCUUGGUCUGGAAUUAAGGAAGGUCUGGUGUUGGACACAACGACCUGUUGUUGCAGAACGGUAGUUCUCUUGAACUCGCUGGACUUCUUGGCCUCCUGACUUCUACAUUUUCCCUAGGAGAGUUCUGUCAAGGAAUAGUCCUAUAACCGAGUGAAGCACACAGAUGAAAGCUGUUUCGGGGGAGAGAAUUGAAGCCCAAGUGCCUAUCCUCUUUGGGGUCUCACCUGAAGUCUUGAGGGUCCCUGAGGGGUAGCAGGGGCCUGGGAACUUGAGAGGUGAGCUGAGUAAGGGCCAAAC